rnacentral:rRNA from 1 species
GCCAGACUCCUACGGGAGGCAGCAGUAGGGAAUAUUGGGCAAUGGGCGCAAGCCUGACCCAGCAACGCCGCGUGAAGGAAGAAGGCUUUCGGGUUGUAAACUUCUUUUCUCAGGGACGAAGCAAGUGACGGUACCUGAGGAAUAAGCCACGGCUAACUACGUGCCAGCAGCCGCGGUAAUACGUAGGUGGCAAGCGUUAUCCGGAAUUACUGGGUGUAAAGGGAGCGCAGGCGGGAAGCCAAGUCAGCUGUGAAAACUACGGGCUUAACUUGUAGACUGCAGUUGAAACUGGUUUUCUUGAGUGAAGUAGAGGUUGGCGGAAUUCCGAGUGUAGCGGUGAAAUGCGUAGAUAUUAGGAGGAACACCAGUGGCGAAGGCGGCCUACUGGACGGUGACUGACGCUGAGGCUCGAAAGCGUGGGGAGCAAACAGGAUUAGAUACCCGAGUAGU